rnacentral:rRNA from 1 species
GACGUAGGAGGCGAGCGUUGUCCGGAUUCAUUGGGCGUAAAGCGUCCGCAGGUGGCAGUUCAAGUCUGCUGUCAAGGACCGGGGCUUAACUUCGGAAAGGCAGUGGAAACUGAACAGCUAGAGUAUGGUAGGGGCAGAGGGAAUUCCUGGUGUAGCGGUGAAAUGCGUAGAGAUCAGGAAGAACAUCGGUGGCGAAGGCGCUCUGCUGGACCAUAACUGACACUCAGGGACGAAAGCGUGGGGAGCGAACAGG